rnacentral:misc_RNA from 1 species
GUAGGAACCCUCUCCAAUCAAACAGUCAGCAUCGAAAUUUUUCGUAACCUCCUUCAGUUCCUCAAAUGAUAUGGCAGGGACUUCAAUGGGCCGCAUUUUCACUAUUGGAGGACUUUUAGGUGCAGUUUGCCGUUUGUGAUAGCCUUCAUCAGUUCCUGCUGAAGCUUUUACUUGGUACAUGCUGCUGUUAUCAGCAGGCUUCUGGAUACCAUCUUCUUCGCAGCAACCAAAGCAUCCCAUUGUUUUCUUUGCUCACGGAUGCGCCAACGUCGAUCAGAUAUCAAAUUCGACGGAAACAAGUCCUCAAUGCUUCAAUCAGAG